rnacentral:misc_RNA from 1 species
AUUGCCGCUUGUGAAGUUCGGCCACAUUCAACUGUCUGCAAAUUUAAACAAAAAAAGGAAAUUAGCAAGCAAACUUCACAUGAAUAAAUCAAUUCGGUUAAUUAUUUAGCAAACGCAACGCGUAAGUUUUGCAUGUCUCAAAGCGACAAAACGUUUCGUGAACGAUCAAAUACAUACAAACCGCUGCAGCUACAGUUUUAACAGUUGUUGUUGCUGCCGAUUUGCGAAGCGACAAAGUGCUCGUGUGUGCGUUUUUGAGCGUGAGUGUCAGUGUGUGUGCGACAGUAUGUGCGUAUAUUUGUGUGUGUGAAGAUAAUUUAGUUAGAGGUCAUUUCUAUGCGUAAGUCUUUGCAACAUGCGGCGGCACCCAGUUGUUGAAAGCGGGACCAUCGUCUUCACACAUCACACGAGCCACAACAACAAAGGACGUUUGCAGCUGUACGCCUACGUCCACGCCCACUUCGAAGCGUGCAGCAGCAGCAACGCCAGCUUUGUUUUAUAGUACGCGCAGCCAUGCCAACAACAACAACAACAGCAGUAAAAUCCACUGAAGAAGAAGAAGAGGAAAAUUGCGAUACGCCAAUGGCGUCUGCUACUACAACAAGAACAAGAACAUCGGAGGAGCAGCCACAACCACCAUCGUUGCCGUCAGCUGCGGCGUCGCCCUCAGAAUCGCUGCAGGCGUCAACUACUGAUGCAAUGUCAAAGGCAGCUGCGCGGCCAACGCCAACACCCUCACUGUUGCCUCUGCUGGCGUCGGCUGCCGCUUGCAAUAAACAGUUACUGUUCUGCCGGCGUUUUAAGGAUGCGUCCGCUGGCAACGUAGACGGUGCUAGCUUUUUACGUAAUUUCAACUCAUUGCCGUUAUUCGUCUACGCAACGUCACCGUCGACGCACGCCAUUUCAGCAGAUGGCGUUGGCGUUGCCAAGGAAGCAGCAGCCGCUGCUGCCGCUGCGUCGGCGUUCAGUCAAAAGAAUGACGGUUUUGAGCUACCCGCAACGCAUGGCACCUGCAAAACAGACGGCAGCUGCAUUAGCCCACACAGAAGCAACAACAACAGCAAUAGCACCAGCAAUAGCAACAGCAGUGGUGGCCACACACGCAUCACAGACUUGGCCAGCGGCGCCAUGGAGUGCCUGCCAUUGAGCGGCGGAGUUGUCACACAUCAUCCGCAUCUGAUGGCGACGAGUGGGACCGGCGGCACGGUGGUUGCCUCGCCAACGGCAACGGUUGUCGUGGGCGCCACAUAUCCACACCAUUUGCACCACCAUCACUUGAGCCACCAUGCGCCGUAUAGCAAUAGCUAUGGUAGUCAUCCGCAUCAUCCCAUACACAGCGAGCAGACCAAGUCGCUGCAGGAGCUGCAGCACGAGGUGGGCGCUCUGUUGGAGUUCAGAGAUCUGGUCAUUGAAACGUUUCCCGAUCUCAAGCAUAAAAUGGCCUCAAUGUCCGCCACGCCGUCGACACCGAACUCUGUGACUGCGCUUGGUGGCAGUCACUCGGUGGGCGGCAACAGUGGAAAUGGUGGCAGCUCCUCGUUAGCAACCAGACGUGAGUGGGAGCCUGGAAUACGCAUAAAGCGCAAGUUGUCGCACAAGGAACCGUCCACGACAACGGCCGCUGCAGCAGCAUCCGCUGGAGUUGAGCCGUCGUCAUCGUCGCUAACGCGCAGCCGCAGCAACUCGCACAGCGGCAAGAAAGAGCCAAAGAGCGGAGAGAACAACAACGGCAGCGUUGUGCAGGACUCCGGCUUCUCAACGGAGACCAGUUCCUCCAAGGAGGGACACAGUGCCUCCUCCACCAACGGUGCAAUGACGGUGGCCAUAGCAUCGAAUCGUCUGAGUUGCGCCGAGUCGGAUGACGAGCUGCUCAACCUGCUUGAUGUCAUACACCGCAAAUCGAAUCGUUUACGCGAGGAGGUCGAGCAUCUGCAGAGCUACGAGCGCCACCAGGGCGAUGCAGCCAAGGGCCAAAAGAAUGCGAAUGGCAUGACGCCGCAGCAAUUCCGGGAGCAGGUGGAGCGACUGAAUCGCGAAGAUAUCAAACAGUUGCGAAAGGAACGCGAUCGUCUGCUGGAUAAGCUGGCCGAAAUGGAGGCGGAGACGUUGACGGGCCGCAUCAAGGCGGCUAAGAUGAACGAUCAGGUGGAAGAGUUGAUUAGCGUUAAGAAAGAUCUCGAGGAGCAGCUGAAACUGGCCAUGGCUCAAAAGCUGGAGCUGAGCUCGCGUGUGCAGCAGCUGCAGUUGCAGCAGCAACAACAACAACAGCAGCAGCAGAGCAAAAGCUCAUCCAGCGCCAGCCAGUCAGAGUUCUCCAGUCAACGCAACUUCUUAUCCUCGGCGACGACGGUGCUCUCGAACAGUAGCCGGCCCAGUCUCAGCAGCAACAACACAUUCCAGCCGGUUGUGCUCGACCAGCAGCAACAGCAGCAGCCAGCGCCGGACGCAUUCCAUCAAAGCUCAGGUAGUGAUACAGCAACAGCGAGAAGGCAACAACAGCCGCUGGGACGUUUGGAUGGCGUUGUCAGCACGCCCGGCGCCCGAAACACCAAAUGCCGCAUUACAGACUCCAAGCGCUUCUCGGCCAUUCUGUUGGAAACGAAUGUGCUGGAGCUGCAGCGACAUUUGCUCACGCUGACUGUGCAAAAUCAGGUGCUGGCCCAGAAGCUGGAAUCGUCCAGCAAGUCAAAGUCGCUGCUGUCGAAGCGGCUGGACAAGAGUGUCGAGGAUACGGAGGAGCUGCGCUUUCAGCUGGAGGAAAAGAACAUCGAGCUGGAGGGCACCAAGGCGCAGCUGCGCGUGCUGGAAUCCCGGCUGCAUAGCAGCAGCAGCGCCAAUUCGUAUUUGAACUCGUCUCAGCAUGAUUACGAGACAAAUCGCUCUUCGGCUUCCACCACACUGAUGCUCAGUCGUCGCGGCGUACCCGAUUCGGUGGACUCAGCAUCGGCAUCGGUGUCGGUGGCCCAGCCCCGAUCCGAUCAAAUAAGCACGCCCAGCAUGAAGGCCAUGGUGCCGCUGGCCAUGGAUGAGCUGCAGCAGCACAGCAGCAGCACUGAAUCCGCGCACGAGCAUGAACCGGAACGCACGCCCAAUGACUCGACGCAGAGCAAGACAAUGGUGAACAGCAGUCCCAGUCCGCUGGUCAGUAGCACGCCCACCGCGACCGCCGGCAGCAGCAUUGCGGCGCGUGUCUUGAGCUCCAGCGUGGGCGGGGUCAGUCCCUUUGAGGCGACGCCGUUGCGCAGCCACGGCUUUCGCAAAUUCAACAGCGCCAGCAAGCCGAGCAAAAUACCGUUGCCGGGCAGCAAGGCGGCCGCCUACUUUGCGGGCAAGCCGCCCACGGGUCGGCCGUCCACGGCAGGUCGAUCACCGCCCUCGGUGCAUAACUCCAGUAAUGUGUCGUAUGGGAGCAGCAGCAAGUCUUCGCUGAGUCGCAGCACCGGCAACCUGAGCCAGAGCUUAAAGCGCGCCGACUCUGUCUCCAAUCAUUCACUGAGCACGAACACGAGCCGCAGCUCAACGUCAUCCUCCAUACCGUUGGCCACCACACCAUACUCAUCCAGCUCGGCCGGUGGCAACCGCAGCAGCGGCCACACGGCCACAACCACUCCGUCCCCGCGCGUGCUCCAGAACUCGCCGUUGCCCAAGCUUAAGCGCGAGACGCUGAGCUCACGUGUGCGGCACCUCGACUCACUUUCGCGCGCCCAACAAUCGCCCGAGCAGCAGCAGCACCACCACAACAACAGCAGCAGCAGUGGCAGUGGCAGCGGCAGCGGCAGUGGCAACGCCUCGCACAAAAGCAGCCAGCUGAGCACCAGCGGCAGUUCCAGCUCCAUUGCAGCACAGCUGAGUACAACGCUGCGCAAGGAUCUGCAACUGAAUGCCAGCUCGGCGCCAGCCUAUCAGCGACGGAGCGGCGGUGGUGCUGGCAGCGGUGGUGCGGCUGUGUCGCGCCGCUUCAGCAGCGCCUCGGUGGCCAGUGCGCGGCUGGCGCGUGAGCAGAGUAGCGAAGCAAACGCCACGCCCACGUCCAGCUAUGGCGACAGUGAUAGUGGCAAGCCUAUUGAAAACUGUAACUAAAAACAAUUGUGAAAGAAACUCUUCCUAACUGCAAUAUGCCUAACCGGAUAAACGUUGGAUAAACAUGUACAAUUAUAUAUGCAUAUGCAUAUGUAUAUAUAUAUAUAUACACAUCUAUAUACAUAUGGACAAUGGUGGUGUAUUGAUUGAUUGAUUGAUUGACGUUGGUGGUGAAAAUUUAAGCUGCAUGCUGCAAAUGAAAAUGCUAACAUAAAAGCAACAUUCCAAAAACACGUGCGUCACUCGGGAGGUUAUUUUGGUAACGGACAGCGAACAGGCGAUGCGAAUGUCAGGAUUCAUGUGCUCAGCUCCAAGUUGCUCCAAAUAGCAAGCUCCAAGCUACAAGCUACAAGCUACAAGCUCCAGUCUCAAAUACGCGCGAAGCGAGCUGAUUGAGCUAGUUGUGUUGUAAAUCGUUUGUCUGCUUUUCUGAUAGACAAAGAACUAAGACACUUUGCCGCAAUUUGUUAUACGCAGUUUGGUAAAUAACGAGAGUAAGCCAAAUUUCCGUUUCAAUAACAACAAUUGGCAGUUGUGGCAAACAAGCAACAACAACAAUAAGAAC